rnacentral:rRNA from 1 species
UACGAAUUCCGGGUAAACUGCUCAGCUUGAGAUCGGGAGAAGCUAGAGGUACUCCUGGGGUAGAGGUGAAAUUCUGUAAUCCUGGGGGGACCACCAGUGGCGAAGGCGUCUAGCUAGAACGAGUCUGACGGUGAGGGACGAAACCCUGGGGCGCAAACCGGAUUAGAUACCCGGGUAGUCCAGGGCGCAAACGCUGCUUGCUUGAUGUUAGCUGGGCUCCGAGCUCAGCUAGUGUCGGAGAGAAGUUGUUAAGCAAGCUGCCUGGGAAGUACGAUCGCAAGAUUGAAACUUAAAGGAAUUGGCGGGGGAGCACAGCAACGGGAGGAGCGUGCGGUUUAAUUGGAUUCAACGCCGGAAAACUCACCGGAGGCGACGGUUACAUGAAGGCCAGGCUGAUGGCCUUGCCUGAUUUUCCGAGAGGUGGUGCAUGGCCGCCGUCAGUUCGUACCGUAAGGCGUUCUGUUAAGUCAGAUAACGAACGAGACCCUCAUUCUUAAUUGCAACUAAUAACUCCGGUUAUUGGGCACAUUAAGAAGACCGCUGGCGAUAAGUCAGAGGAAGGCGAGGGCAACGGUAGGUCAGUAUGCCCUGAAUCCUCCGGGCUACACGCGCGCUACAAAGGCCAGGACAAUGGGUUUCGACACUGAAAGGUGAAGGUAAUCUCGAAACCUGGUCAUAGUUCGGAUUGAGGGCUGAAACUCGCCCUCAUGAAGCUGGAUUCCGUAGUAAUCGCGGAUCAACAUCCCGCGGUGAAUAUGCCCCUGCUCCUUGCACACACCGCCCGUCAAACCAUGCGAGUUGGGUCUAAGUGAGGAUGUAGUAUUUUGCUGCGUUCAAACUUGGGCUUAGCAAGCGGGGUUAAGUCG